rnacentral:rRNA from 1 species
CCUACGGGUGGCAGCAGUCGAGAAUCAUUGACAAUGGGCGAAACCCUGACCGUGCGACGCCGCGUGGGGGAAUGAAGGUCUUCGGAUUGUAAACCCCUGUCAUGUGGGAGCAAAUUAAAAAGAUAGUACCACAAGAGGAAGAGACGGCUAACGCGGUGCCAGCAGCCGCGGUACUACAGAGGUGGCAAGCGUUGUGAGGAAUCACUGGGCGUAAAGGGCGUGUAGGCUGUUUCGUAAGUCGUGUGUGAAAGUCGCGGGCUCAACCCGCGGGCGGCAUAUGAUACUGUGUGACUAGAGUAAUGGAGAGGCAACCGGAAUUCUCGGUGUAGCAGUGAAAUGCGUAGAUAUCGGGAGGAACACUAGUGGCGAAGGCGGGUUGCUGGACAGCAACUGACGCUGAGGCACGAAGGCGAGGGGAGCGAAAAGGAUUAGAUACCCCAGUAGUC